AGUGAACGCUGGCGGUAGGCCUAACACAUGCAAGUCGAACGGCAGCACAGUAAGAGCUUGCUCUUACGGGUGGCGAGUGGCGGACGGGUGAGGAAUACAUCGGAAUCUACUUUUUCGUGGGGGAUAACGUAGGGGAACUUACGCUAAUACCGCAUACGACCUACGGGUGAAAGCAUGGGAUCUUCGGACCUUGCGCGAUUGAAUGAGCCGAUGUCGGGUUAGCUAGUUGGCGGGGUAAAGGCCCACCAAGGCGACGAUCCGUAGCUGGUCUGAGAGGAUGAUCAGCCACACUGGAGCUGAGACACGGUCCAGACUCCUACGGGAGGCAGCAGUGGGGAAUAUUGGACAAUGGGCGCAAGCCUGAUCCAGCCAUACCGCGUGGGUGAAGAAGGCCUUCGGGUUGUAAAGCCCUUUUGUUGGGAAAGAAAAGCAGCAGGUUAAUACCCCGCUGUUCUGACGGUACCCAAAGAAGAAGCACCGGCUAACUUCGUG
rnacentral:rRNA from 1 species